rnacentral:rRNA from 1 species
AAGCCCACGGCUCAACCGUGGAGGGUCAUUGGAAACUGGAAAACUUGAGUGCAGAAGAGGAAAGUGGAAUUCCAUGUGUAGCGGUGAAAUGCGCAGAGAUAUGGAGGAACACCAGUGGCGAAGGCGAUUUUCUGGUCUGUAACUGACGCUGAUGUGCGAAAGCGUGGGGAUCAAACAGGAUUAGAUACCCUGGUAGUCCACGCCGUAAACGAUGAGUGCUAAGUGUUAGGGGGUUUCCGCCCCUUAGUGCUGCAGCUAACGCAUUAAGCACUCCGCCUGGGGAGUACGACCGCAAGGUUGAAACUCAAAGGAAU